rnacentral:lncRNA from 1 species
UUUUGUAUUAAACUCCAUUACAGUUAAAAAAUGUGAAAUUUCUGAUACAUUUCUAAUACAAAUGACUUGCAUCAAUAGAAAGCUAACAAAAAACUACAUAUGAAACAUUUAAAUGGUUAUUUGGGAUUUUCAAGCAGUUUUCGAGUUAUUGCCGUUUCAAAUGUGAAAAAUAAGCCAAAAUCUCGCAAAAUUCCUGGGUACUAGUCUGAAAACACGCAUUCAACAGCUCAUAACUCAAGAAGAACUUGAAAAACCCGGGUAACCGUUUAAAUGUCUUAUAUGUAGUUUUUUGCAAGCUUUCAAAUGAUGUAAGUCAUUUGUGUUAGAAAUGUAUUUGAAAUUUCACAUUUUUUAACUGUAAUAGAGUUUAAUACAACAUUCGAAGAAAAACGUGUCGGCAGGAGCCCACAAGAAAUUUUAACGCGGCCAACAUACAGAAACGUAC